GUGAAGGUAAGUCAUAAAUCUGCUUUUCUUCUUCUGUUUAUCCGGUGUAUCCACCUGUGGAAGGUUUGGUGUUUUUCCUCUGUUGGUAAUGUGACAAGAGACACGAUUUAUAUCAUGGCAGAAUACGUUUAAUAGAUUUUUGUUUGAAUAAAAGGUAUUUAGAUCUGCAGCUGGAUCAACCGUUAGCUUCCCUUGUAGUUUAACGCAGCUAACUUCAUGUGUGCUGUUUAAACUUAAUCAAAAGUUGUUUCGCUUAAUGAGAAAUGGUGUCAGAUGUUUUUAACAUUCUAGUUUUUUCUGUUUGAAGUUAAAUGUGUAGUCGGUUCAGCCCAAAAGCUACUAACGGCUCCAACAGCUAAUGCUAGUGUUGGAUUCAGACAGAAAACCGUCGAUUCUGCUACACUAAAAUAUUAUUUCUUUCUUUCUGUAAAGUGUAGAAACACGCAUAGAUUAAUGAGGAAACCCCCAAAUGAGUAAAAUCAGCUCAUUUUAAGCAGCGACUGUAAGGUUCAUAUUUGACAUUACAUCGCUGCAGUACUUUUAUUUAGAAAAUUACCAGUGCUUUUACAUUAAAACCGUGUGUGAUUUCCUGUCUAGCCCUAUGUUAACUGCGGAAAUCAACGUGUCGCAGAAGUGGCUCUCGGCAAAAUUAUAACCCGAUCCUAUCUUUAGCGGAGCGGUGUGCGGGUUUCGGUACGGGAUCUGCUCGGGUACAGGAUCGGCUCGGAGUCCUUCGACUGCCGAUGACGUCAACGUGGUUGAUUGGCUGAACAUGAAGCUUACGGAAGUGACGUAAUCACGUUAUGAUGAUAUAGUCUUAGCGGUUGUAGUCCUGUAGUCCAAAAAUCAACACGUUUUGGAGAAAAUAUGUUUGAAUUUCUAAAGGAAAUGUAAAAUAUAAGCAAUUGAUAAAUGGUGACCCUCAAAAUCUCUUGAAGUUGAUGAAAUGGGGCAAAAUAAAAUAUAAUAACUUUAUUGAAAGACACCAAGCAACAUUUAGAGUCAAAGAAUGUAUUUAGAUAACAACUAAGGAAAUAUACAGACGAACUCCACAUUAAUACAAACAGAUAUGGCUUCACAUAUAAGAACUGUCCUAUUGUUUGUCAGUCCGAUGUUGGUUUUAUGCAGUUUCACAUUCUUUACAAAACAGAUAAUAUGGUGUUUUAUUAACAAAUUACAAUUAUAAAGAAAACAUUUAGGUGUUAACAAACAAGAAUUUAUUAACAACACUGCUGACGUCUUUCCAAAACGUAUGUGUGAAAGCCGAGUAGAGUUGCAGUCAUGUGAAGUCAUCGGCAGUCGAAGGACCCCGAGCUGAUCCUGUACCGACACUGGCUUCCUCAAUGAUCCAACACAAGAUGAAUGCAGUAGUAUAUCACUGCAGAAUCUAACCUUAACCCAGGCAAAAAAGGGUUUGGGGUAUUUCUUAUGAAGAAAUUACAAUAUCACAUGGUACAAUGUUCCAAAAAGUAGAUUUUUUUAAUGAUCUGAACAUUUACAAAAACUGUUCAAUCAAUGAACCUCUGUCCACAGUCUUGCGUUUUAUGUGAUAUUAGUUAUAGCUCCCCCUUCAGUUCCAGAACGUAAGUGUUGCAUUUUCCAAAUAUGGAAUGAGUCUGACUGGUAGCCCUACAAUGCCUCUUUCUUCGUGCUGCAGCCAGGGCCUUCUCGCUACUUGGGCCAGCUCCUCCAGGAGAAUCCCAAGGUGUCCCCUGGCCAAACGAGUCCCUCCAGCGUAUCCUAGGUCUUCCCUUUGGUCUCCUCCCAGUUCGAGCACAAAUGUUUUAUUGUUAAAAUGUUAUAAUUAAAACAGUUUUUUCUUUGUCUGGCUUUUAUAGAUUAACAGAUAAUGUACAGGUCAAACAGCGCUGAGCAGAUAACAGAAUAUCUAGUGGUAAAAUCCAACAAUAUAAAAUCUUAUGUAACAUGAUAUGUUUUUGUUUUCUUUUUUAGACUGAGAGCUUUGAGCGUGGUUUGGUGCAUCAGCAGAAAGAACGUGAUUCCUUCUUCUGUGCUUACAGAAUAUUUCCUGUGUAUCCUGUGGUGACUGGUUUUAUGUUGUUUGUCGACCUCUACUGAACUAUCAUUUUGGACUCCUCUAUCUUUUGUGCUUCUAUCCUGCUCUGCCUUGCCCCAUCAGAUUCGCUAUAGCUGCUGGUGGGGUUUUGAACCAAACUUUUAUGGAUACAAUGUUUUAUGGAUACAAACUUUUAUGGUGACAAACUUUUAUGGUGACAAAGUUUUAUGGAUACAAAGUUUUAUGGUGGCAAAGUUUUAUGAUUUUGUGGUGACAAAGUUUUAUGGAUACAAACUUUUAUGGCUACAAAAUAUUUUUGGUCUUAUGGUUCUGCGAAACCAGCCCUGCUGUGAGAUUUGACAUUGAUAAGAACUACAUCUAAAGCAAUACGCUUUGGCAUUCACUUUGGAAAUUUGGCUUUGAAUGAAUAAAAACAACCAACACACUGGAAACAUCUAAUUUGAGUAAACUUUAAGAUAUAAUAUUUAAACUACUCUUACACAUAAAGAUAAACUUUUCAUAGACUGAAUAUAAUUGGUUUGUUGAGAUUUGUCUUGCUUGAGAUCAGCUCAAAUUUAUUGAUCUCCAAAAACACAAAAUUGUUUGAAAA